rnacentral:rRNA from 1 species
AUCAUGGCUCAGGAUGAACGCUAGCUACAGGCUUAACACAUGCAAGUCGAGGGGCAGCAUGGUCUUAGCUUGCUAAGGCCGAUGGCGACCGGCGCACGGGUGAGUAACACGUAUCCAACCUGCCGUCUACUCUUGGACAGCCUUCUGAAAGGAAGAUUAAUACAAGAUGGCAUCAUGAGUCCGCAUGUUCACAUGAUUAAAGGUAUUCCGGUAGACGAUGGGGAUGCGUUCCAUUAGAUAGUAGGCGGGGUAACGGCCCACCUAGUCUUCGAUGGAUAGGGGUUCUGAGAGGAAGGUCCCCCACAUUGGAACUGAGACACGGUCCAAACUCCUACGGGAGGCAGCAGUGAGGAAUAUUGGUCAAUGGGCGAGAGCCUGAACCAGCCAAGUAGCGUGAAGGAUGACUGCCCUAUGGGUUGUAAACUUCUUUUAUAAAGGAAUAAAGUCGGGUAUGCAUACCCGUUUGCAUGUACUUUAUGAAUAAGGAUCGGCUAACUCCGUGCCAGCAGCCGCGGUAAUACGGAGGAUCCGAGCGUUAUCCGGAUUUAUUGGGUUUAAAGGGAGCGUAGAUGGAUGUUUAAGUCAGUUGUGAAAGUUUGCGGCUCAACCGUAAAAUUGCAGUUGAUACUGGAUAUCUUGAGUGCAGUUGAGGCAGGCGGAAUUCGUGGUGUAGCGGUGAAAUGCUUAGAUAUCACGAAGAACUCCGAUUGCGAAGGCAGCCUGCUAAGCUGCAACUGACAUUGAGGCUCGAAAGUGUGGGUAUCAAACAGGAUUAGAUACCCUGGUAGUCCACACGGUAAACGAUGAAUACUCGCUGUUUGCGAUAUACGGCAAGCGGCCAAGCGAAAGCGUUAAGUAUUCCACCUGGGGAGUACGCCGGCAACGGUGAAACUCAAAGGAAUUGACGGGGGCCCGCACAAGCGGAGGAACAUGUGGUUUAAUUCGAUGAUACGCGAGGAACCUUACCCGGGCUUAAAUUGCAGAUGAAUUACGGUGAAAGCCGUAAGCCGCAAGGCAUCUGUGAAGGUGCUGCAUGGUUGUCGUCAGCUCGUGCCGUGAGGUGUCGGCUUAAGUGCCAUAACGAGCGCAACCCUUGUUGUCAGUUACUAACAGGUUCCGCUGAGGACUCUGACAAGACUGCCAUCGUAAGAUGUGAGGAAGGUGGGGAUGACGUCAAAUCAGCACGGCCCUUACGUCCGGGGCUACACACGUGUUACAAUGGGGGGUACAGAGGGCCGCUACCACGCGAGUGGAUGCCAAUCCCCAAAACCUCUCUCAGUUCGGACUGGAGUCUGCAACCCGACUCCACGAAGCUGGAUUCGCUAGUAAUCGCGCAUCAGCCACGGCGCGGUGAAUACGUUCCCGGGCCUUGUACACACCGCCCGUCAAGCCAUGGGAGCCGGGGGUACCUGAAGUGCGUAACCGCGAGGAGCGCCCUAGGGUAAAACUGGUG